rnacentral:rRNA from 1 species
CCUACGGGCGGCAGCAGUGGGGAAUAUUGCACAAUGGGCGCAAGCCUGAUGCAGCCAUGCCGCGUGUGUGAAGAAGGCUUUCGGGUUGUAAAGCACUUUCAGCGGGGAGGAAGGCGUUAAGGUUAAUAACCUUGUCGAUUGACGUUACCCGCAGAAGAAGCACCGGCUAAUCCGUGCCAGCAGCCGCGGUAAUACGGAGGGUGCAAGCGUUAAUCGGAAUUACUGGGCGUAAAGCGCACGCAGGCGGUCUGUCAAGUCGGAUGUGAAAUCCCCGGGCUCAACCUGGGAACUGCAUUCGAAACUGGCAGGCUAGAGUCUUGUAGAGGGGGGUAGAAUUCCAGGUGUAGCGGUGAAAUGCGUAGAGAUCUGGAGGAAUACCGGUGGCGAAGGCGGCCCCCUGGACAAAGACUGACGCUCAGGUGCGAAAGCGUGGGGAGCAAACAGGAUUAGAUACCCCGGUAGUC